rnacentral:sRNA from 1 species
CCCUGAGCAGUGUUCUGGGCUUGGGCUCCGGAACCACACUGCAGCAAUGCUUUGCUCGGUUAACGAGAUGACACUGGACAAAAGGCCUUGGUGUUAGCUACAGUGAGCUGGACUCUGGAUCGUCUGGGCAGAUUAUUCCUAUGCAUCCUGCCUUCCUCGCCCAGGACUGGUCUGAGAGGGAUUCAUGAUGGAAGCAUGUUCAUUCUGUGACCUGGGUCUCGCCUAAAUGUGGUCAACAGUGUCAGCAGUUCAGAGGACAUCAAGCCCUUACCAGGGCUUCCCGGGAUUGGAAACAUGAACUACCCAUCCACCAGCCCCGGAUCUCUGGUUAAACACAUCUGUGCCAUCUGUGGAGACAGAUCCUCAGGAAAGCACUACGGGGUAUACAGUUGUGAAGGCUGCAAAGGGUUCUUCAAGAGGACGAUAAGGAAGGACCUCAUCUACACGUGUCGGGAUAAUAAAGACUGCCUCAUUGACAAGCGUCAGCGCAACCGCUGCCAGUACUGUCGCUAUCAGAAGUGCCUUGUCAUGGGCAUGAAGAGGGAAGCUGUGCAAGAAGAAAGACAGAGGAGCCGAGAGCGAGCUGAGAGUGAGGCAGAAUGUGCUACCAGUGGUCAUGAAGACAUGCCUGUGGAGAGGAUUCUAGAAGCUGAACUUGCUGUUGAACCAAAGACAGAAUCCUAUGGUGACAUGAAUAUGGAGAACUCGACAAAUGACCCUGUUACCAACAUAUGUCAUGCUGCUGACAAGCAGCUUUUCACCCUCGUUGAAUGGGCCAAGCGUAUUCCCC